rnacentral:rRNA from 1 species
GCAUAUCAAUAAGCGGAGGAAAAGAAACUAACAAGGAUUCCCCUUAGUUAACGGCGAAGUGAAGAAGGGAAGAAGCCCAAGAAUUGAAAGCUGGCGUCUUCGGCGUCCGCAUUUGUAAUCUCAAGAAGUGUUUUCCGCUUCGGACCAUGCCUAAGUCCCUUGGAAAAGGGCAUCAUAGAGGGUGAUAAUCCCGUACAUGGCAUGGAGCGCCCGUAGCUUUGUGAUACGCUUUCUAAGAGUCGAGUUGUUUGGGAAUGCAGCUCAAAAUGGGUGGUAAAUGCCAUCUAAGGCUAAAUAUUGGGGAGAGACCGAUAGCGAACAAGUACAGUGAUGGAAAGAUGAAAAGAACUUUGAAAAGAGAGUUAAACAGUACGUGAAAUUGCCAAAAGGGAAGGGUAGGAGGUCAGAGAUGCGUCUUGGGAUUCAGCCUUGCUUUUGCCUGGUGUUUUUCCCAAGCUGCAGGCCAACGUCGGUUUUGGGCACUGGAGAAGGGUAGGAGGAACGUGGCACCUCUCGGGGUGUGUUAUAGCCUCCUACUGGAUACAGCGACCGAGACCGAGGAACGCAGCGUACUCGUAAGAGCGGGCCUUUUGGCACCUUUACGCUUAGGGCGUUGGCAUAAUGGCCCUCUACCACCCGUCUUGAAACACGGACCAAGGAGUCUAACAUGUAUGCGAGUCUUUGGGUGGCAAACCCAUAGGCGCAAUGAAAGUGAAUUCAGGUGGGAUCCGCAAGGUGCACCAUCGACCGAUCCUCACGUCUUUUAAGUCGUGGAUUUGAGUAAGAGCAUACCUGUUGGGACCCGAAAGAUGGUGAACUAUGCCUGAAUAGGGUGAAAGCCAGAGGAAACUCUGGUGGAGGCUCGUAGCGGUUCUGACGUGCAAAUCGAAUCGUCAAAUUUGGGUAAUAGGGGGCGAAAGACUAAUCGAACCAUCUAGUAGCUGGGUUCCUGCCGAA